GCUAAAAUACCAAAUGGCGCUCUGGGCUCUAGGCAUGCCUUUUCUUCCCCCAGCCCCUGGGGCUUCUCGUUCCUCCAUCCCUCACAACCCCAAACUCACUGCCGCCGCCUCAGCCAGCUCCCUCCUCCGCCAUUAGUGUGCCGUGGCCACAACCUUUGCCUGGUUAGAGACAAUGGUUAAUGCAAUUAAAGGUCUUUUCAUAUCCUGUGAUGUGCCAAUGGCGCAGUUUAUUGUCAAUUUGAAUGCUUCUUUGCCUGCUUCACAGAGGUUCAUUGUGCACAUGCUUGACAAUACACACAUGUUUGUGCAACCUCAUGUGGCUGAGAUGAUUCGGAGCAAGAUUGCAGAGUUCAGAGACCAAAACACUUACGAGAAACCAGCAUAAUUAAUUACUAAGACUCCUGUCAGAGGCUUGAAGUUGUAUAUGUUCAUCCAUAAUUUUCUUGGUUUGAUUUACCGAAAUGAUGUCUUAAUCUCUAUAACAAAUGUUGAAUUUAAUUAUUUUGGUUGUUGCAUGGAGACCACUGCUUAUCAUUAGCAUUUACUCGUUUUUAUUUCCUGGAAAUCCAGACAGAGGUGCUUGUUCUGUCAUGGAAGGUUAUUCUUGAUAAUUAUCGGGGGCAACUUUUUUGUAUCUGUCAUGCAUAUAAUUAGAUAUUCAGCUGCUAUUCAU